rnacentral:rRNA from 1 species
AUUGAACGCUGGCGGCAGGCCUAACACAUGCAAGUCGAGCGGUAGAGAGGUGCUUGCAUCUCUUGAGAGCGGCGGACGGGUGAGUAAUGCCUAGGAAUCUGCCUAGUGUGGGGGAUAACGUUCGGAAACGGACGCUAAUACCGCAUACGUCCUACGGGAGAAAGCGGGGGAUCUUCGGACCUCGCGCCCAUUAGAUGAGCCUAGGUCGGAUUAGCUAGUUGGUGAGGUAAUGGCUCACCAAGGCGACGAUCCGUAACUGGUCUGAGAGGAUGAUCAGUCACACUGGAACUGAGACACGGUCCAGACUCCUACGGGAGGCAGCAGUGGGGAAUAUUGGACAAUGGGCGAAAGCCUGAUCCAGCCAUGCCGCGUGUGUGAA